GGGACUCGAGGAUCGAGGCGGGAAGCAGGGCUGGAAAAGGGGGUUCGGGCAGCGACCCCGGGUCAGCAUUGGAGCUGGGAUCGCAGGGGCCGGAAGCCUGUAGUCCACGUCCAUCCCACUUCUGAGCAGUGGAGUUGACAGCUGACCUCCCGCCCGACGUCCUGACAGCCCCGGAAGCCGAGAAAUCGAAGGGAUCGUGUCCACCAUGAUGGACUCCUCCCUCUGCGAGGGACCCACAUGAGGUGCCAAGUGUUGGCAGCUUCCCGCCACACCUCUUAACUGUCCCGCCGCACUCGAGCUGCUUCCCGCGACCGGCAAGCCAUGACCGGCCGCUCCCUGGCGGAAGGGACAGGAACUGCAGUGCUUGGGUUCCUAGCCCCUGAAAGUUAGUGGGAAUCUGGAUCUCUGCCCGCAAUGGUAAAGCAUUUGGACCGUUCCCUGCAGAAAGGCGUGAAGCCUGCUUUGGGGCUUCGUCCUAGAUACAUCUCCAGGCCACUUACCUAGGCUGAAUCUGACUGAAGGCUGGAAAGGGAAGUGUGCACUCUGCUAUAUAGCCAACCUUGAACUUCUGAUCCCCCUGCCUCCACCUUGUGAGUGCCAGGGUUAUAACCGCAGGGACUCACUCAACUGAGAUACAUCCCUAACUUCUAGGAUUUAGGUUAAAAUGGAAGGUUUGACAUGCUAGACCUCAGUUUACUCCGAGCUGAUCUAUAUAUUUAAUGAACAUUUAGAGGAGUCUCAGGAAGAGUUGCACAUAUAAACCAAAAAAUCUUUUUUUGGGGGGUGGGGGUGGGGAUAGGGUUUAACGAUGUAGCUCAGGCUAGCCUAGAACUCAUGCUCCUGCCUUGGCCUCCCCAGCGCUAAUGUUUUAGGUGUGCACGACUGCACCAUUUUAAUAAACUUAUCCUAAAACUUAUGGCAAAUAAAUAGACUGAAUAAAAUGAUUUUGUAACGUU
ensembl:lincRNA 9130604C24Rik RIKEN cDNA 9130604C24 gene